AGUUAAAUACGUCACAAGGCGGAAUAAAGGAAGGAGAAGUGUAAACGAAAUUGCUAUACAAUGUCUACAGCUGCCUGGCGGGGGGCGCAGUGCGGUGGUUCUAAAAAUAAAACAAGAAAACGCAGAGCUCGCAGAGUUCGCGGCAGCGGGAGAGCUGCAGUUAAGUAGAGCUUAAGACAGAGAGAGAAAAAAAGAGCAGCCGUUGGGCGAAGCUUAAAUCAAAGGCAGAGGCAGAGGGAGAACACAGUAAGCGCAGAGCACGAGAGCGAAUCUGGAAGCAGAGACAAAGAAGAAGCAUAUACGUACUUCUAUAUCUAUUUCUAAAGCUUUAUGCUUUGCACAUGGCUGGCAUAGAACGAAUGGACCUGCGAGGGUAUCAAAGCUUCGGAUUGAUUCGCAGCUAUCUCAUCUGAUAUUUGCAGUGGGAAUCGCUGACAGCUUGUUGCGGCGGCUGCGGCUGAGCCACGCACCGGACGCACAGAGGCAUAAAUUCCCGCGACAGUGGUCUGUCAUUCAGGGAAAUGUCCCAUGCAGCUUAAUGAGCAGUGCGGACUAUAUUGUCUAUUUAGCAGCCAGAAAGUGAGGAAAUCAGGAGACAAGACAGAAGACACAAGAAGAGUGCAAAUUAAUUCCCACUUUGUUUCAGUUUACUAUUAAAAGCCACCCACUGUGCCAGAAAUGCCGUGCCACCACCAA